CAAAAUGGAACUUGAAGAGGCAGACAGAUGAAUUCCUUAUCACGGCUUGGCUGUGUUCGCAGAACAUGUGCUUACCAUUUCAAACUCCGGAAAACUAUUUGCAGGGAUCUGAAAUACAAGACUGAAUCCAAAAGUUUUGCAGCAAAUCAACCGAACCUUGUGUCAGUGAGAUCAAAAUAGAACCAACAGGAACUUUAAUCUGUCUCUGCUACAGAGAGAUGAAAUCAGUGCAGGCUCCAUAAAAUAAGAGUAAUGGAAACUGUUCAAGGUUAUGAGUAUCUGCAACAACAAAGUGUCUCCCAUUAAGUGAUGCACUGAAGCUGUGCAGAUGAAGUUAUAUGCUCUGGUACCACAACGAGGUACAA
ensembl:lncRNA